rnacentral:rRNA from 1 species
UACGUAGGGACCAAGCGUUGUUCGGAUUUACUGGGCGUAAAGAGCUCGUAGGCGGCUUGUCGCGUUGAUCGUGAAAACCCGAUGCUUAACGUCGGGCUUGCGGUUGAUACGGGCUGGCUGGAGUGUGGUAGGGGAGACUGGAAUUCCCGGUGUAGCGGUGAAAUGCGUAGAGAUCGGGAAGAACAUCGGUGGCGAAAGCGCUCUGCUGGACUGCAACUGACACUCAGGGACGAAAGCUAGGGGAGCGAAUGGG